rnacentral:RNase_P_RNA from 1 species
GUAGGAGGGUUUGUCGCUGGCGGCAACGUCAGAGGAAAGUCCGGGCAACAGAGGGCGCCGCGCUUCCUAACGGAAAGUCGUUCGUGAGGGCGAACUAUCGCAGAAGAGAAUGACCGCCUGCUUGCAGGUAAGGGUGAGAAGGUGGGGUAAGAGCCCACCAGUCCCGCUGGUGACAGUGGGAGCUGUGCGAGUCGCGGGUUGUAAGAUCGAAUAUACCGACGCAUGUAGGGCUGCCCGUCCGAUGUCGGGGGGUAGAUUGCUUGAGGCUUAUGGUGACAUAAGUCCUAGAUUAAUGACAAACGCCCGUCCGCGGGUACAGAACUCGGCUUAUACGCCUACUCU